AGUGAACGCUGGCGGUAGGCCUAACACAUGCAAGUCGAACGGCAGCACAGUAAGAGCUUGCUCUUACGGGUGGCGAGUGGCGGACGGGUGAGGAAUACAUCGGAAUCUACUUUUUCGUGGGGGAUAACGUAGGGAAACUUACGCUAAUACCGCAUACGACCUACGGGUGAAAGCAGGGGAUCUUCGGACCUUGCGCGAUUGAAUGAGCCGAUGUCGGAUUAGCUAGUUGGCGGGGUAAAGGCCCACCAAGGCGACGAUCCGUAGCUGGUCUGAGAGGAUGUUCAGCCACACUGGAACUGAGACACGGUCCAGACUCCUACGGGAGGCAGCAGUGGGGAAUAUUGGACAAUGGGCGCAAGCCUGAUCCAGCCAUACCGCGUGGGUGAAGAAGGCCUUCGGGUUGUAAAGCCCUUUUGUUGGGAAAGAAAAGCAGCAGGUUAAUACCACGCUGUUCUGACGGUACCCAAAGAAUAAGCACCGGCUAACUUCGUG
rnacentral:rRNA from 1 species